rnacentral:rRNA from 1 species
GGGAAUUUUCCGCAAUGGGCGAAAGCCUGACGGAGCAAUACCGCGUGAGGGAGGAAGGCUCUUGGGUUGUAAACCUCUUUUCUCAGGGAAGAACAGAAUGACGGUACCUGAGGAAUAAGCAUCGGCUAACUCCGUGCCAGCAGCCGCGGUAAUACGGAGGAUGCAAGCGUUAUCCGGAAUGAUUGGGCGUAAAGGGUCCGCAGGUGGCAUUGUAAGUCUGCUGUUAAAGAGUUUGGCUCAACCAAAUAAGAGCAGUGGAAACUACAAAGCUAGAGUGUGGUCGGGGCAGAGGGAAUUCCUGGUGUAGCGGUGAAAUGCGUAGAUAUCAGGAAGAACACCAGUGGCGAAGGCGCUCUGCUA